CCACAAUAUUUUUGAAUGAGAAUUUACCCUUUGUAUAAGUGCCCGGUGAGCUUAGGAAAAUUCUGCACAUAAUGGCUGUUCUAAAUUCUGAUGUUACAAUCUGCAACUCUUGCAGCGCUGAGUUGCUGGGGGAACACUUAGCAACUGGGAGGGGUGGAGCAGUGAGAGCCCAGCUGGGAGUAAAGUUUUCAUUAGCGGCGGCGGGCGCUUGGACCGGGGCUUCCCCUCACAAGUUUAGUUUCCCCCCUUUGUAAGGAGCAAGGAUUCCACCCGGCUGCACCCAGCUGGCACGUGCGGUGAGGGUCUCGUGAGAGUGAACACUGCAGGCGCAGCUCAGGGCUGACACGUGGAGGCGCUCAGUGGACCUACAGUCCUGCUACACGCAGGUGCAGCCUCCCCUGGGCCCUCGCGCCUGGCUCCGCCUCCUGCCUCCCAGGACGCCCCGCCCACCGCAUUAUGCCUGGGUCGGAGCCGCGGGGAGCUCGAGGUUCCACUCGCCAGGCUGUCACACGGAGACCAACCACCCCCAUGACUUCAGGGCCUUCCAGUCCUCUGGGCUCCUAACUUGCUGUCCCUUCUCAGGAGACUACCUUCUCCUUUACCCCGGCUCUGCAGUGACCCCCAGCACAUGUCUCCUGGAGCCAGUACUCGCCUGGUAGCCUGUGUAUCAGAUGUGGCAUAAGGAGGUGGAGAGCCCUUGCUUUGAAAAGUGCCUACAGAGCAGUUUCACCCCUCUGUGAACAUGAACGAGCCUUGGCAAGCAUGCGGCUGAAUCACAGUCUUGGUGACACAGAGCACGUGGCGUCAAAUUGCCCAGAAGUAUGACUGGCACCCCAGCCUGUGCCUUCGCACCCCAAAGGAGGACCCGCUGUCAACACAGAACAAGGGAUCCAAAGAUGAGCCUUCUGGUUUUCUAAAAGCCAGUUGUUGAGUUUCAAGGCCUUCUCCGUACAUGGUGAAUUCCUUGAAGGCAGCUGAAGUAACCACUAAUUUUUUUUUUUUUUUUUUUAACCUACCUAGGAUAAGUGCCUUUUUCUGAGAGGAGUAAAUGCCUCUGUGUGUGCCAA